rnacentral:rRNA from 1 species
UCCUACGGGGGGCAGCAGUGAGGAAUAUUGGUCAAUGGUCGGGAGACUGAACCGGCCAAGCCGCGUGAGGGAUGAAGGUACAGAGUAUCGUAAACCUCUUUUGUCAGGGAACAAAGGCGGGGACGUGUCCCCGGAUGAGUGUACCUGAAGAAAAAGCAUCGGCUAACUCCGUGCCAGCAGCCGCGGUAAUACGGAGGAUGCGAGCGUUAUCCGGAUUUAUUGGGUUUAAAGGGUGCGCAGGCGGUCUGUUAAGUCAGCGGUCAAAGCCCGGGGCUCAACCCCGGCCCGCCGUUGAAACUGGCAGG